GAGAGCGUACACAGGUGGCUGCAUGGCUGUCGUCAGCUCGUGUCGUGAGAUGUGGGUUAAAUCCCGCAACGAGCGCAACCCUGCAUUCAGUUGCCAUCGGUAAGGCCGGGCACUCUGGAUGGGACUGCCGGCGACAAGCCGGAGGAAGGUGGGGACGACGUCAAGUCAUCAUGGCCCUUAUGUCCAGGGCGACACACGUGCUACAAUGGCCGGCACAACGGGAAGCGAAGGGGCGACCCUGAGCGGAUCCCACAAAAGCCGGUCCCAGUUCGGAUUGCAGUCUGCAACUCGACUGCAUGAAGUUGGAAUCGCUAGUAAUCGUGGAUCAGCCAAGCCGCGGUGAAUACGUUCCCGGGCCUU
rnacentral:rRNA from 1 species